UACGGAGGGGGCUAGCGUUGUUCGGAAUUACUGGGCGUAAAGCGCGCGUAGGCGGACCUGCAAGUCGGGGGUGAAAGCCCGAGGCUCAACCUCGGAACUGCCUUCGAUACUGCGGGUCUCGAGUCCGGGAGAGGUGAGUGGAAUUCCUAGUGUAGAGGUGAAAUUCGUAGAUAUUAGGAAGAACACCAGUGGCGAAGGCGGCUCACUGGCCCGGUACUGACGCUGAGGCGCGAAAGCGUGGGG
rnacentral:rRNA from 1 species